AGUCUUAUAGUCAUCACAUGAUUUUAGAUUGCAAAUCUAAGGGUGGAUUUUUAACUUCUAAGGCUU
rnacentral:tRNA from 1 species